CGCUUUGAUCAAGAUUGAAAGGCAAGGC
rnacentral:piRNA from 1 species